GAUGAACGCUGGCGGCGUGCCUAAUACAUGCAAGUCGAGCGAACAGACGAGGAGCUUGCUUCUUUGACGUUAGCGGCGGACGGGUGAGUAACACGUGGGUAACCUACCUAUAAGACUGGGAUAACUUCGGGAAACCGGAGCUAAUACCGGAUAAUAUUUUGAACCGCAUGGUUCAAAAGUGAAAGACGGUUUUGCUGUCACUUAUAGAUGGAUCCGCGCCGCAUUAGCUAGUUGGUAAGGUAACGGCUUACCAAGGCAACGAUGCAUAGCCGACCUGAGAGGGUGAUCGGCCACACUGGAACUGAGACACGGUCCAGACUCCUACGGGAGGCAGCAGUAGGGAAUCUUCCGCAAUGGGCGAAAGCCUGACGGAGCAACGCCGCGUGAGUGAUGAAGGUCUUCGGAUCGUAAAACUCUGUUAUUAGGGAAGAACAGAUGUGUAAGUAACUGUGCACAUCUUGACGGUACCUAAUCAGAAAGCCACGGCUAACUACGUG
rnacentral:rRNA from 1 species